rnacentral:rRNA from 1 species
CCUACAUGAAGCUGGAGUUACUAGUAAUCGCAGAUCAGAAUGCUGCGGUGAAUGCGUUCCCGGGUCUUGUACACACCGCCCGUCACACCACGGAAGUUGGGGGCGCCCGAAGCCACUUAGCUAACCCUUUUGGGAAGCGAGUGUCGAAGGUGAAAUCAAUAACUGGGGUGAAGUCGUAACAAGGUAUC